rnacentral:rRNA from 1 species
ACGUGAAACCGUUUAGGGGUAAACCUGAGAAACCCGAAAGGUCGAAGGGAGAAAUUCAUUCGCGUUUCGCCGUCGGCGUGAGACGGUCGUGUGACGGAAAACGUUCGCGUUUUCCGCGCCUUCCGUUUUUCGAUCUGAUAGCGAACGCGUGCACUUUUCUCCUGGUAGGACGUCGCGAUCCGUUGGGUGUCGGUCUACGGCUCGCGGUGGAGCCCGGACGUACGGCUUGCCGUUAUGUUCGGACCCGCUUGUCCUGGCUGACUCGCUCGACGGUAUACGAAAGGUUUAAGGCCGCUUUUUAAGCGUUCGACUCGUUGCAAGCGCGUCAGAUGUGUCGGCGAUCGGACCUAGUGCCGGUUCUGACCUCUGGCGACUGUUGGCUGCGAAGUUCUCGGACAGUGCCUUGACCGAUCUGCGACGCUAUAGCUUUGGGUACUUUCAGGACCCGUCUUGAAACACGGACCAAGGAGUCUAGCAUGUGCGCGAGUCAUUGGGAAUCACUAAACCUAAAGGCGCAAUGAAAGUAAAGGUCCGCCUCGCGCGGACUGAGGGAGGACGGGCGGUUUACCCUUAAAAGUGGCCGCCCCGCACUCCCGGGGCGUCUCAUUCUCAUCGCGAGAAGAGGCGCACCAAGAGCGUACACGCUGGGACCCGAAAGAUGGUGAACUAUGCCUGGUCAGGACGAAGUCAGGGGAAACCCUGAUGGAGGUCCGUAGCGAUUCUGACGUGCAAAUCGAUCGUCGGAACUGGGUAUAGGGGCGAAAGACUAAUCGAACCAUCUAGUA